rnacentral:piRNA from 1 species
UGGCCAAACCUGACACUGUCUUGCUGC